rnacentral:rRNA from 1 species
GAGAGCCAUAUCACCAUGCAGCUCUCGCCAGGUUUCCCAUUGAAGCUAAGCAGGGUUGAGUCUGGUCAGCACCUGGAUGGGAGACCUCCUGGAGAAAACUAACUAAACUUACU